UACGUAGGGUCCGAGCGUUGUCCGGAAUUACUGGGCGUAAAGAGCUCGUAGGUGGUUUGUCGCGUUGUCCGUGAAAACUCACAGCUUAACUGUGGGCGUGCGGGCGAUACGGGCAGACUGGAGUACUGCAGGGGAGACUGGAAUUCCUGGUGUAGCGGUGGAAUGCGCAGAUAUCAGGAGGAACACCGAUGGCGAAGGCAGGUCUCUGGGCAUUAACUGACGCUGAGGAGCGAAAGCAUGGGGAGCGAACAGG
rnacentral:rRNA from 1 species